rnacentral:rRNA from 1 species
UACGUAGGUGGCAAGCGUUGUUCGGAAUUAUUGGGCGCAAAGGGCGCGUAGGCGGCUUUGUAAGUUAGAGGUGAAAGCCCGGAGCUCAACUCCGGAACUGCCUUUAAAACUGCAUCGCUUGAAUCCAGGAGAGGUGAGUGGAAUUCCGAGUGUAGAGGUGAAAUUCGUAGAUAUUCGGAAGAACACCAGUGGCGAAGGCGGCUCACUGGACUGGUAUUGACGCUGAGGUGCGAAAGCGUGGGGAGCAAACAGG